rnacentral:ncRNA from 1 species
AAAGCCGCGCUGAACAUGCAGAAGUCAGCAGAGGCUAUAGUACUGCGAGAGCAGGAAGGGC